rnacentral:tRNA from 1 species
GGUGGCUCAGUGGUAGAGUGCUUGCCUAGCAUGCAGGAAAUCCUGGGUUCAAUUCCUCAGUACCA